GGUUGUGGUCGCAUGGUAACAUAUAGGUGCAAAGGCAGAAAGGAGCUUGACUGCAAGACCCAUUCAUUGAGCAGGGAUGAAAGUCGACCUUAAU
rnacentral:rRNA from 1 species